UACGUAGGCAGCGAGCGUUGUUCGGAAUUAUUGGGCGUAAAGAGCGUGUAGGCGGUCUGGUAGGUCCGCUGUGAAAACUCGAGGCUCAACCUCGAGACGCCGGUGGAAACCAUCAGACUAGAGUCCGGAAGAGGAGAGCGGAAUUCCUGGUGUAGCGGUGAAAUGCGCAGAUAUCAGGAAGAACACCCGUGGCUAAGGCGGCUCUCUAGUACGGUACUGACGCUGAGACGCGAAAGCGUGGGGAGCGAACAGG
rnacentral:rRNA from 1 species